rnacentral:rRNA from 1 species
GACGAACGCUGGCGGCGUGCUUAACACAUGCAAGUCGAACGGAAAGGCCCUGCUUUUGUGGGGUGCUCGAGUGGCGAACGGGUGAGUAACACGUGAGUAACCUGCCCUUGACUUUGGGAUAACUUCAGGAAACUGGGGCUCAUACCGGAUAGGAGCUCCUGCUGCAUGGUGUGGGUUGGAAAGUUUCGGCGGUUGGGGAUGGACUCGCGGCUUAUCAGCUUGUUGGUGGGGUAGGGGCUUACCAAGGCUUUGACGGGUAGCCGGCCUGAGAGGGUGACCGGCGACAUUGGGACUGAGAUACGGCCCAGACUCCUACGGGAGGCAGCAGUGGGGAAUAUUGCACAAUGGGCGGAAGCCUGAUGCAGCAACGCCGCGUGCGGGAUGACGGCCUUCGGGUUGUAAACCGCUUUCGCCUGUGACGAAGCGUGAGUGACGGUAAUGGGUAAAGAAGCACCGGCUAACUACGUG